rnacentral:rRNA from 1 species
GACGAACGCUGGCGGCGUGCUUAACACAUGCAAGUCGAACGGAAAGGCCCUGCUUUUGUGGGGUGCUCGAGUGGCGAACGGGUGAGGAACACGUGAGUAACCUGCCCUUGACUUUGGGAUAACUUCAGGAAACUGGGGCUAAUACCGGAUAGGAGCUCCUGCUGCAUGGUGGGGGUUGGAAAGUUUCGGCGGUUGGGGAUGGACUCGCGGCUUAUCAGCUUGUUGGUGGGGUAGUGGCUUACCAAGGCUUUGACGGGUAGCCGGCCUGAGAGGGUGACCGGCCACAUUGGGACUGCGAUACGGCCCAGACUCCUACGGGAGGCAGCAGUGGGGAAUAUUGCACAAUGGGCGCAAGCCUGAUGCAGCAACGCCGCGUGCGGGAUGACGGCUUUCGGGUUGUAAACCGCUUUCGCCUGUGACGAAGCGUGAGUGACGGUAAUGGGUAAAGAAGCACCGGCUAACUACGUG